GACCGCGUAGCUCAGUUGGCAGAGCAUUGGGCUAGCGUUCCAAAGGUCGUAGGUUCGAUUCCCACCGUGGCCA
rnacentral:tRNA from 1 species